rnacentral:rRNA from 1 species
CAGCAGCAGCCGCGGGAAAACGAAGGGGGCUAGCGUUGUUCGGAUUUACUGGGCGUUAAGCGCACGUAGGCGGAUCGAUCAGUCAGGGGUGAAAUCCCAGAGCUCAACUCUGGAGCUGCCUUUGAUACUGUCGAUCUGGAGUAUGGAAGAGGUGAGUGGAAUUCCGAGUGUAGAGGUGAAAUUCGUAGAUAUUCGGAAGAACACCAGUGGCGAAGGCAGCUCACUGGACUGGUAUUGACGCUGAGGUGCGAAAGCGUGGGGAGCAAACAGGAUUAGAUACCCCAGUAGUCCCUGUCUCUUAUAC